GACGAACCGUGCGAACGUUGUUCGGAUUCACUGGGCUUAAAGGGCGCGUAGGCGGAAGGUCAAGUCCGAGGUGAAAUCUUUCGGCUCAACCGGAAAAGUGCCUUGGAUACGGAUCUUCUCGAGGGAGGUAGGGGCAUGUGGAACUUCCGGUGGAGCGGUGAAAUGCGUAGAGAUCGGAAAGAACACCAACGGCGAAAGCACUCUGCUGGGCCGACACUGACACUGAGAGACGAAAGCUAGGGGAGCGAAUGGG
rnacentral:rRNA from 1 species